AACGAACGCUGGCGGCAUGCCUAACACAUGCAAGUCGAACGAAGGCUUCGGCCUUAGUGGCGCACGGGUGCGUAACGCGUGGGAAUCUACCCUUAGGUUCGGAAUAACUCAGAGAAAUUUGAGCUAAUACCGGAUAAUGUCUUCGGACCAAAGAUUUAUCGCCUUUGGAUGAGCCCGCGUAGGAUUAGCUAGUUGGUAGGGUAAAGGCCUACCAAGGCGACGAUCCUUAGCUGGUCUGAGAGGAUGAUCAGCCACACUGGGACUGAGACACGGCCCAGACUCCUACGGGAGGCAGCAGUGGGGAAUAUUGGACAAUGGGCGCAAGCCUGAUCCAGCAAUGCCGCGUGAGUGAUGAAGGCCUUCGGGUCGUAAAGCUCUUUUACCCGGGAUGAUAAUGACAGUACCGGGAGAAUAAGCUCCGGCUAACUCCGUGCCAGCCGCCGCAGUAACAC
rnacentral:rRNA from 1 species